rfam:Schistosoma mattheei strain Denwood, Zambia genome assembly, scaffold: SMTD_scaffold0001806
AUUCUAAGCUGACGAGUCCCAAAUAGGACGAAAUGCACGUCCUGGAU